GACGAACGCUGGCGGCGUGCCUAACACAUGCAAGUCGAACGAGGUCCAUCCUUCGGGAGAAGACCUAGUGGCGAACGGGUGAGUAACACGUGAAGAACCUGCCCCGAAGACCGGGAUAACCCUCCGAAAGGAGAGCUAAUACCGGAUACCCCCACCGAACCGCAUGGUUUGGUGAGGAAAUGGAUUCCGCUUCGGGAGGGCUUCGCGGCCUAUCAGCUAGUUGGUGGGGUAAACGGCCCACAAGGCAUCGACGGGUAGCUGGGUCUGAGAGGACGAUCAGCCACACUGGGACUGAGACACGGCCCAGACUCCUACGGGAGGCAGCAGUGGGGAAUCUUGCGCAAUGGGCGAAAGCCUGACGCAGCAACGCCGCGUGGGGGAUGAAGGCUCUCGGGUUGGUAAACCCCUUUCAGCAGGGACGAAUCAAGACGGUACCUGCAGAAGAAGCCCCGGCUAACUACGUGCCAGCAGCCGCGGUAAU
rnacentral:rRNA from 1 species